rnacentral:tRNA from 1 species
CGGAGUAUAGCGCAGCCUGGUAGCGCACCUGCUUCGGGAGCAGGGGGUCGCGUGUUCAAAUCACGCUACUCCGACCA